rnacentral:misc_RNA from 1 species
GAUGAAGAACGUAGCAAAAUGCGAUAAGUAAUGUGAAUUGCAGAAUUCAGUGAAUCAUCGAAUCUUUGAACGCACAUUGCGCCCGCUGGUAUUCCGGCGGGCAUGCCUGUUCGAGCGUCAUUUCAACCCUCAAGCCCCCGGGUUUGGUGUUGGGGAUCGGCUCUGCCCUUCUGGGCGGUGCCGCCCCCGAAAUACAUUGGCGGUCUCGCUGCAGCCUCCAUUGCGUAGUAGCUAACACCUCGCAACUGGAACGCGGCGCGGCCAUGCCGUAAAACCCCAACUUCUGAAUGUUGACCUCGGAUCAGGUAGGAAUACCCGCUGAACUUAAGAAUAUCAAUAAGCGGAGGA